UGAGAAGUAGUGUAAGCAACACAUUAGAUUUUGAGUCUACUGAUGCCAGUUCAAUUCUUGCCUUCUCAU
rnacentral:tRNA from 1 species